UACAGAGGGGGCAAGCGUUGUUCGGAAUUACUGGGCGUAAAGGGCGCGUAGGCGGCCUUCUAAGUCGAACGUGAAAUCCCCGGGCUCAACCCGGGAACUGCGUCCGAUACUGGAAGGCUUGAAUCCGGGAGAGGGAUGUGGAAUUCCAGGUGUAGCGGUGAAAUGCGUAGAUACCAGGAGGAACACCAACGGCGAAGGCAGGUGACUGGACAUUUUGUGACGCUGAGGCGCGAAAGUGUGGGGAGCAAACCGG
rnacentral:rRNA from 1 species